AAUAAAGGAUAAUAGUUUAAAAUAAAAACAUUUAAUUUGCAAUUAAAAAAUAUAAAUCUUAUUUAUCUUA
rnacentral:tRNA from 1 species